CGCACGGGUGCGUAACGCGUAUGCAAUCUACCUCUUACUGAGGGAUAGCCCAUGGAAACGUGGAUUAAUACCUCAUAGUAUUAUAAACUGGCCUCAGUUUAUGAUUAAAGGUUACGGUAAGAGAUGAGCAUGCGUCCUAUUAGCUAGAUGGUAAGGUAACGGCUUACCAUGGCUACGAUAGGUAGGGGUCCUGAGAGGGAGAUCCCCCACACUGGUACUGAGACACGGACCACACUCCUACGGGAGGCAGCAGUGAGGAAUAUUGGACAAUGGGCGAGAGCCUGAUCCAGCCAUGCCGCGUGCAGGAAGACGGCCCUAUGGGUUGUAAACUGCUUUUACAGAGGAAGAACCCUCCUUACGUGUAAGGAGCUGACGGUACUCUAUGAAUAAGGAUCGGCUAACUCCGUGCCAGCAGCCGCGGUAAUACGGAGGAUCCAAGCGUUAUCCGGAAUCAUUGGGUUUAAAGGGUCCGUAGGCGGGUCUAUAAGUCAGUGGUGAAAGUCUGCAGCUUAACUGUAGAACUGCCAUUGAUACUGUAGACCUUGAAUUAGUAUGAAGUGGUUAGAAUGUGUAGUGUAGCGGUGAAAUGCAUAGAUAUUACACAGAAUACCGAUUGCGAAGGCAGAUCACUAAUACUAUAUUGACGCUGAUGGACGAAAGCGUAGGUAGCGAACAGGAUUAGAUACCCUGGUAGUCUACGCCGUAAACGAUGGUUACUAGCUGUCCGGCCUAAUUGAGGGCUGGGUGGUUAAGCGAAAGUGAUA
rnacentral:rRNA from 1 species